GAAUUUUGGACAAUGGGCGCAAGCCUGAUCCAGCCAUGCCGCGUGAGUGAAGAAGGCCUUCGGGUUGUAAAGCUCUUUCGCGAGGGAAGAAAACGUACGGGCCAAUACCCUGUGCGGAUGACGGUACCUUGACAAGAAGCACCGGCUAACUACGUGCCAGCAGCCGCGGUAAUACGUAGGGUGCGAGCGUUAAUCGGAAUUACUGGGCGUAAAGCGUGCGCAGGCGGUUUGCUAAGACAGGUGUGAAAUCCCCGGGCUUAACCUGGGAACUGCGCUUGUGACUGGCAGGCUAGAGUACGGCAGAGGGGGGUGGAAUUCCACGUGUAGCAGUGAAAUGCGUAGAUAUGUGGAGGAACACCGAUGGCGAAGGCAGCCCCCUGGGCCUGUACUGACGCUCAUGCACGAAAGCGUGGGGAGCAAACAGG
rnacentral:rRNA from 1 species